UAAUGCUUCUUAUUGGCACUUGUGUUUCCUUGCUUGAAGCUGCUUUAGCAGACAGCCAAUAAGACUAACCUCCCUCUAACCUCUACGCGCGGAGCAACAUUUUUUAGCGAUCCUUUCUUUUUGAGAGACUGCCCUUAGCCACGCCGUGGAUCUUCUGGAGACCUAGCAAUGCCCCGUCAAGACCCCUUAAAAUUCAUACUCCUGGCCAGAGUAGUAAAAUAUAUUCAUACCCAUUGUUGGCACAUAUCCUUACCCUCUAUGCUACCAAGGAGGCAGUGGUCUGCCAUACUGUCAUGUGACCAGUGAUCUACCAUACCAUCAUGUGACUGCCCACGAUCUCAGUUUAAACUGCACGUGACUGCCGCAGUGAAAAAUGUAGCAGCAAGCUGCAGAAUCCCGGUGAAAAUCAAGUCCACCUGAGACCUUAUCUAAGGUCUCGAUCUCCAGCAGAUCCUGCCUUUUCCUGAUCCAUCAUCUCAGUUCAUCAAAAAUCUAAAUUCAUCAAGUUCAAG